CCUACGGGUGACAGCAGUGGGGAAUAUUGCACAAUGGGGGAAACCCUGAUGCAGCGACGCCGCGUGAGCGAUGAAGUAUUUCGGUAUGUAAAGCUCUAUCAGCCGGGAAGAAAAUGACGGUACCUGACUAAGAAGCCCCGGCUAACUACGUGCCAGCAGCCGCGGUAAUACGGAGGGGGCCAGCGUUAUCCGGAUUUACCGGGGGUAAAGGGGUCGUAGUGGGCUGUGCAAGUCUGAAGUGAAAGCCCGUGGCUCAACCGCGGAACUGCUGUGGAAACUGUAUAGCUUGAGUGCUGGAGUGGCAGGCGGAAUGCGUAGUGUAGCGGUGAAAUGCGUAGAUAUUAGGAGGAACACCAGUGGCGAAGGCGGCCUACUGGACAGAAACUGACGUUGAGGCUCGAAAGCGUGGGGAGCGAACAGGAUUAGAUACCCGGGUAGUC
rnacentral:rRNA from 1 species